rnacentral:rRNA from 1 species
GAUGAACGCUGGCGGCGUGCCUAAUACAUGCAAGUCGAGCGAACAGACGAGGAGCUUGCUCCUCUGACGUUAGCGGCGGACGGGUGAGUAACACGUGGAUAACCUACCUAUAAGACUGGGAUAACUUCGGGAAACCGGAGCUAAUACCGGAUAAUAUAUUGAACCGCAGGGUUCAAUAGUGAAAGACGGUUUUGCUGUCACUUAUAGAUGGAUCCCCGCCGCAUUAGCUGGUUGUUAAGGUAACGGCUUACCAAGGCAACGAUGCGUAGCCGAACUCAGAGGCGGAUCGGCCACCUUGGAACUGGGCCACGGUCAAGACUCCUACGGGAGGCAGCAGUCGGGUAUCUUCCGCAAUGGGCGAAAGCAUGACGGAGCAACGCCGCGUGAGUGAUGAAGGUCUUCGGAUCGUAAAACUCUGUUAUUAGGGAAGAACAACUGUGUACGUAACUAUGCACGUCUUGACGGUACCUAAUCAGAAAGCCCCGGCUAACUACGUG